AAGUCGUAACAAGGUUUCCGUAGGUGAACCUGCGGAAGGAUCAUUACCACGUUCCAAACGUAUCAACCAAAGCGAACCGUUUUCGAUUUCUCCCAACGCAGAGAAUGAGCUGAAUCGCAUGAGUGUGUGUGCGGGAUCCUUUUGGAUCAGCGAGUGCGAAACAACUUAUCGUGUGAAAGCACGGUAGACGGCUGUAUUUCUGCGGAUGGCUAUUGCUCACUACCUAUGGUUUCCGACGCCGAUCGCGGGUAGUGGGCGCACAUUUAAUAACUAUAUUCACCGCUUUUGCUAGUUGACUUGAAUAUGUUACUUUUCGCUUCGGCGUGAGUACACGUUUUUAAUUAAACGAAAAUACAACUCUUAGCAAUGGAUAUCUAGGUUCUC
rnacentral:misc_RNA from 1 species